rnacentral:rRNA from 1 species
GACGAACGCUGGCGGCGUGCUUAACACAUGCAAGUCGGACGGGCAUCAAGAGGUAGCAAUACCUCGGAAGUGCUAGUGGCGAACGGGUGAGUAACACGUGAGAAACCUGCCUCGAAGACGGGGAUAACGGUUGGAAACAGCUGCUAAUACCCGAUAUCUCUGCCUGGGUCGCAUGGCCUGGCAAAGAAAUGGAAUCCGCUUCGAGAGGGUCUCGCGGGCUAUCAGCUUGUUGGUGAGGUAACGGCUCACCAAGGCGACGACGGCUAGCUGGUCUGAGAGGACGACCAGCCACACUGAGACUGAGACACGGCCCAGACUCCUACGGGAGGCAGCAGUGGGGAAUCUUGCGCAAUGGGCGAAAGCCUGACGCAGCAACGCCGCGUGGGGGACGAAGGCUCUCGGGUUGUAAACCCCUUUCAGCAGGAACGAAAUUGACGGUACCUGCAGAAGAAGCCCCGGCUAACUACGUGCCAGCAGCCGCAGUAAAAC